GUAGGCCCGAUUGAACAAAACUCCCAAGGCAUCAGCUGAAAGUAUACAUCCCAAAUUUGACUGGUAUCUGAUCAGCAGCUGAGAUAGAGAAGUCGCCUUGUGAUGCUUUGGCUGCCAUCCAAUCCGUAGCCUGAUUUUACCUCCUUGCAGUACAUGUGUCGCCUUGAACGCCCAUCUUGACCUCUUCCAUUGCAGCACAUCCUUCAGCAAGGGCAUAGACCCGUUUGUAGACACAGAAUCAUGAAUCCAAUGAACAAUGGUUUUAGAGUCCCUUUCCAACCAAAUUUGAUACACUCUUCCUCUACCAAGGCUCUGGAUACAUAAUCCAUUAGAGCUGGCAAAGACGAGGGAAGAAAACCAAGGCCACUCUGAUCACAUAGGCGCUGCCAACAUUGGUGGGCAUAAGAACAAGUUAUAGUAACGUAUUCACAAUCCUCAA
rnacentral:lncRNA from 1 species